rnacentral:rRNA from 1 species
GUAAACGAUGAUAACUAGCUGUCCGGGCACUUGGUGCUUGGGUGGCGCAGCUAACGCAUUAAGUUAUCCGCCUGGGGAGUACGGUCGCAAGAUUAAAACUCAAAGGAAUUGACGGGGGCCUGCACAAGCGAUGGAGCAUGUGGUUUAAUUCGAAGCAACGCGCAGAACCUUACCAGCGUUUGACAUGUCCGGACGAUUUCCAGAGAUGGAUCUCUUCCCUUCGGGGACUGGAACACAGGUGCUGCAUGGCUGUCGUCAGCUCGUGUCGUGAGAUGUUGGGUUAAGUCCCGCAACGAGCGCAACCCUCGCCUUUAGUUACCAUCAUUUAGUUGGGGACUCUAAAGGAACCGCCGGUGAUAAGCCGGAGGAAGGUGGGGAUGACGUCAAGUCCUCAUGGCCCUUACGCGCUGGGCUACACACGUGCUACAAUGGCGGUGACAGUGGGCAGCAAACUCGCGAGAGUGCGCUAAUCUCCAAAAGCCGUCUCAGUUCGGAUUGUUCUCUGCAACUCGAGAGCAUGAAGGCGGAAUC